ACAGUGGACUCGGUUCCCAUAACGUUGGACACUGCUAAAACUAUCAAAUAGAUACGAGUCUGGUCACUCUGGUACACAGUAUCAUAGAUGUAUCUCUCUCUUAACUUUCUUCAUCAUUUCUAUCUCACCGUCUAAUCCCUUUCUCUGUUGAAAUCUCCCUUUAGGAGCCAUGAGUUAUCAUUCCACAGCUUUAGAUUUCUCAAUAUUCACCAAACCUUCUCUUCUCUACUCUAAUCACUUCUCCUUCCAUGUAGAAAUCUCUAAAAUCUGUACCAAAUUGCACACCAAAAUCGAUAUCUCAACCGAAAAUGGAGGAACUCGAAGAAGAUGAAGUUAAAGAUUCAAAUCUCAAUCAAGUCCUACUCAAGCUACCACUGCUGAAAUUGAACAAAGUAGAAGGUAGAAGUAGCUAAAUGGUAUACAAUUACUCGAUUCUGUGAUAAAAUUAUAAGCCCACUGACAAAAGAUUGGAGGAAGUUGUUGGUGUUUAGAGAGGAAUGGAGAGAAAUUCUACAAACAAUGUAAAGCGAUAAUGGUAUGAAGCAGAAGUUGAUUUUGUUAGGGAGGCAACUGAAAAAGAUUGAUGAUGAGAUAGAUAGUGAGCUACUCAAGGAGAAAUAGCAAAUCCCAAUAGAUAUCAAUGCAGUUGCGGAAAAGCGGUGUAAGGAGAGGAGUUUUUCUGUCAUCUUAGUUCACUAUCGGAGACUUAUGAUAGCUUGGAUGACGGUGAUGCAAUAUCCAGGCUAGGAGCUAGAUACCUCUUUGCAAUCUGUGCUGCUCAAGCUAUAUUUGGAGAUAUGCUCAAUUGUCCGUCACUGGAUGCGGCAUGUGAGAAGAUCAAAAGUUUAGAUAAAGAAAAAAGAGCUUGAUUCCUCAUUGAUCUUGUUGAUAAAUAGUGCUAGGGUAGCAGCGAUAAAACCGCCAACCAUGAAGAAUGAUGUAGAUCCAAAUAAUGUAAGUGAAAAAUUAACCUUCUUUCAUUCUAUUCCAGAAGCUGCAAUGCAAUUGUUAUUACCAUGAUGAAUGCA